GGGGGGGGGCCGGAUCCUGGGCUGUGUCCCGGCGCCCUGUGCUCUGGAGCCUGCGCUGUUGGAAUCCCGCUCCCGCCCCGCAGCCCCCU
rnacentral:pre_miRNA from 1 species